GACGGCUCUUACACGACGGGUGGAGGCGGCGGCUCUUCUGUCCACAUUGGAGGUGGAGGCGGCAGCAGUUCCACCAUCACUCUUGGAGGAGGUUCUACAGGCGGCAGUUCUGUCUCGGUUGGAGGUGGCACCAUUUCCGUCGGGGGAGGCUCUGUGUCUGUAGGAAGUUCUUCUUCCACUGGGACGGGCUCAGCGAGUGCCGGCGCGGGAGCUGGUGGGUCUGUAGCCACGGGAACCGGAUUGGGAAUCGAUGGCGAGCUCGACUAUGAUAUUGAGAAAUUCAAGGAGGAGGACAUUAAUUAUUCUGAUAGCGAGCUGGAUGCAUAUGGUGCCUAUGAUGAUCUGGAUUAUGGACACAAAGAAAAAGAGCUCCCAGCUGAGACUGAUGAAUAUUAUGGACAGAUUGAUGGUGCCCGUGGUGAAAAGGGGCAGAAGGGUGAGCCCGCUGUCAUUGAGCCAGGAAUGCUGGUUGAAGGUCCACCAGGGCCUGAAGGACCAACAGGUCUCCCUGGACCCCCAGGUUCUUCUGGUUCUCCAGGCAGUCCUGGGGAUCCUGGAGAGAGGGGUGAUCCAGGUCGGCCUGGUCUUCCCGGGGCUGAUGGUUUACCAGGACCUCCGGGAACUGUCCUCAUGUUACCUUUCAGGUUCAGUGCUGGAGGUGACUCUGGACAAAAGGGACCUGCAAUGUCAGCUCAAGAAGCCCAGAUGCAAGCCAUAAUGCAGCAGGCCAGGCUGGCAAUGAGAGGCCCAACUGGUCCAAUGGGUUUUAACGGGUCGUCCUGGUCCACUUGGACCUCCUGGUGUACCAGGUCUGAAGGGAGAGUCAGGAGAAGCCGGACCACAGGGACCCAGAGGACCCAUGGGCUCUCCAGGACCUCCUGGAAAACCAGGCCGAAGGGGUCGAUCUGGAGCUGAUGGUGCUAGAGGCAUGCCAGGACAGUCUGGACCAAAGGGAGACAGGGGCUUGAUGGCCUGGCUGGGCUUCCUGGUGAAAAAGGACACAGAGGUGAACCAGGUCCUGCGGGGCCCCCUGGUGCACCUGGUGAGGAUGGAGAAAGGGGAGAUGAUGGAGAGAUCGGACCCAGGGGACUUCCUGGUGAACCAGGGCCCCGUGGUUUGCUGGGACCAAAAGGACCUCAAGGACCUUCUGGACCCCCUGGCGUGACUGGAUCAGAUGGACCACCUGGACCAAAAGGAAAUAUUGGCCCUCAGGGAGAACCAGGACCCCCGGGACAGCAGGGAAAUCCAGGUGCUCAGGGACUCCCAGGACCACAGGGAGCAAUCGGACCCCCGGGGA
ensembl:lncRNA